GACGAACGCUGGCGGCGUGCUUAACACAUGCAAGUCGAACGGAAAGGCCCUGCUUUUGUGGGGUGCUCGAGUGGCGAACGGGUGAGUAACACGUGAGUAACCUGCCCUUGACUUUGGGAUAACUUCAGGAAACUGGGGCUAAUACCGGAUAGGAGCUCCUGCUGCAUGGUGGGGGUUGGAAAGUUUCGGCGGUUGGGGAUGGACUCGCGGCUUAUCAGCUUGUUGGUGGGGUAGUGGCUUACCAAGGCUUUGACGGGUAGCCGGCCUGAGAGGGUGACCGGCCACAUUGGGAGUGAGAUACGGCCCAGACUCCUACGGGAGGCAGCAGUGGGGAAGAUUGCACAAUGGGCGGAAGCCUGAUGCAGCAACGCCGCGUGCGGGAUGACGGCAUUCGGGUUGUAAACCGCUUUCGCUUGUGACGAAGCGUGAGUGACGGUAAUGGGUAAAGAAGCACCGGCUAACUACGU
rnacentral:rRNA from 1 species